CGGCCCAGACUCCUACGCGGUAGGCAGCAGUGGGGAAUAUUGCACAAUGGGCGCAAGCCUGAUGCAGCCAUGCCGCGUGUAUGAAGAAGGCCUUCGGGUUGUAAACCUCUGUCUUCGGGGACGAAUAAAUGACGGUACCCGAGGAGGAAGCCACGGCUAACUACGUGCCAGCAGCCGCGGUAA
rnacentral:rRNA from 1 species